AUAAUACAGUAGGACAUGAAUGCUAUUUAUGGUACGAAGAAGAGAGCGACAACAUCCUUCCAUCCUUUAAACAUUUCUACACAGACUCCUAGACAUGGCGAGGACUAGUAUUUCAUUAUUUUCUAAAGGAACGAAUUUGAAAUGGCAUUUUUGAACGUAUUUGUAUCUUGGAGUAUUCCAUUGUGGGCGUGUCCCACUGCACCUACGGCUCUUUUAAUACAAGGGUUUGUUGAUUGCGCUCGGCAGUAAAGCUAAGAUUAUUUGUGGAUUUAUUGACUUAUUUCCACGGAACUAUCGUAAUCCGGCCCUUAAUGCUGACGCCAAGCGCAUAUUUAGUGGUUCCAACUUGUCCAGACUUGGUCAGUGGACUGUUAUUUAUGGACAAGCUCCGUUCUGCCUUCCGGGUUGUUUCAGUCGAGUUGAGUGACGGUUGAAUUGUCCAAUCCGCAGAGGGAUUGCGUUCGGCUCCCCAGCCUAUCAGCUGUACGGAUGGACGGACAAGCAGAGAGUUGAGCUUCUCUGUAUGAGUACAAGAAAAGAGACAACAACAAAGUGAAUAACAAAAAGAAGACAAAAACCUUCUCCCUGUGUGGAAAAGACGUAAUCCUCGAGAAACCACCUGUGAUGGACUUCAUUUGAGCUUUCCCAGAUUGAGGAGGAAUUUGCAUGGGCGGUCCUGUUGGGAGGACUUGAUGACACCCUCAACCUUUUAAAUGAAGCAGGUACAUAUAACAACCUAGCACUUAGCUUUAUGUACUAGCAUUUAUAAAAUUUUAAAUAAUAAAAUGGUAAAUAAGGAUUUGUUGAAAAAGGUGUGACAUGAGGUGAAGAAGAAAGGACAGAAAUAUGGGCUUUCUUUUAGCACAGGAAAGAAAAACAGAUUCUUAAUAUUUCCAACAUUAUUUACAUUUACAUUUUACUGCAUGUGGCAGAUGCCCAUAUCCAGAGCGAUGUACAAUAGUGCUGUGAAGUCUAUCAAUAAACACAACACUGGUUCAUAAGGGUACAGACUCAGGAUACCAGCAGCCUGAAACUCUGUUAGGAGGAAUUACAGCACAAUGUAUAUUUUUAUUUAUUUUUUUAAAAAUAAAGCAAACAGGGAUAAAUAAGCACUAGUUUAAGUGUUUCAGGAAGAGGCAGGUCUUCACCCUUUGUUUGAAGACGGUCAGUGACUCGGCUUUAGACACCUAAGGGAAGUUCAUUCCCCCACCCUGGUGUCAGAACAGAGAAGAGUCUAGAUGUAGACCUACCUCUUACCCUGAGAGAUGGUGGACCAGUCCAGCAGUGCUAGUGGACCUGAGGGAGCGAGGUACAGUGUGAUAUGAGUAAUAAGAGAUUUGAGGUCAGAUGGAGCUGGUCCAUUCUUGGCUUUGUAG